UGACAAGAUAUAUAUGUAAUGAAUUUUGAGUUUUGUCCCUUUUAUUGAGGUACUUUUUUCUGAAAUUGUUACAACCACUAAACAGCACUACAUUUUUUGAAACAUUUUUCCUAUAGUAUUUUUUGGUUUUUUGCCUGAUUAGCUGCCAAAUGUAAAUGUUUAAUUCAACUCUACAAAAAUGUUUAACACUUAGUGAUUCAAUUAGUAAGUUUAUACCUAUGGUCUCAGUGAGCUAUUCUUUAAAAUUCAUUAUAUGUUAUAAUUUUAUAGGCAAACUAAUAUGUUUUUAUGAUUCUUGGCUUUUUAUAGAUAAAAAUAAGCAACAAUACAUGUUUUUCUUAUAAUUUUCUCUUUUUUUCUUAUAAAGCAGGAAAAAACUUCUAUAUUCUGUGUCAGUUGGUUGCAGUUAUAGAAAAUGCAGUAAACUAGGUAGAAAUAUCAAAUAAGAUUUUUAUAAAACUGGUCUGUAUGGUUCCAAGCAAUCCAGAUAAAUAACCAGCUACGGUCAUUGAAGAGUAAGAUGUAUUCACUUCUAUGUGAAUGAAUUCAAAGUGCAACAGUGAUUCUACUUAAUAUAAAUCCUUUGAUAUACUGGCAUUUCCGCACAGGAAGAAUACUUGUGUUCAGAAAUAUGUGUUUUAUGCCUAUUCCUUAGAAUUUUAGAUGCAUAUUCUCAAUUAUACAUAUUAAAUAGUCCACAGAGAAACCUAAACUUCUGUAAAACUCAUAACGCAGUGUUAUUUAGACCCUAACCUCAAAUGUAACAAGGCUGGAACCAUUCCAUUUCCAUGAAAUAAUUUAAGUAAGCCAAUACAAGGGGAAGGGGUGGGAAUAAAGGUCUGAGAUGGUCUUUAGUUUUACAUUUUGUGCUAGAGGUAUUUUUACAUACUUUUAAAGAAUAGAGGGUGCCUGUAUCUUAGUACACUUAAUAAGAAAGAAAAAUUAUACUGUAAUUGGGUAUCGUCGUUGUCAAUCAUUUGGCAAUGUUACCUGAUAAAAGUUUCUGAGAUGAUGGAAACUCUCUCUAUAUGCACGGCCCAGCUUGCUUGCUCCUAGCUACAUGUGGUUACUGAACACUUGAAAUGUGGCUAGUGUGACAGAGGACACUAAUUAAUUUUAUUUUA
rnacentral:lncRNA from 1 species